AUACGGAGGGUGCAAGCGUUACUCGGAAUUACUGGGCGUAAAGGACGCGUAGGCGGUUUAGAAAGUCAGAUGAGAAAGCCUAUGGCUUAACCAUAGAACUGCAUCUGAAACUCCUAGACUAGAGUGAGGGAGAGGUCAGUGGAAUUAGUGGUGUAGGGGUAAAAUCCGUAGAGAUCACUAGGAAUACUCAUAGCGAAGGCGACUGACUGGAACUUUACUGACGCUGAGGCGUGAAAGCGUGGGGAGCAAACAGGAUUAGAAACCCCGGUAGUCC
rnacentral:rRNA from 1 species